AUUGAACGCUGGCGGCAUGCCUUACACAUGCAAGUCGAACGGCAGCACGGAGCUUGCUCUGGUGGCGAGUGGCGAACGGGUGAGUAAUAUAUCGGAACGUGCCCUAGAGUGGGGGAUAACGUAGCGAAAGUUACGCUAAUACCGCAUACGAUCUAAGGAUGAAAGCAGGGGAUCGCAAGACCUUGCGCUCAUGGAGCGGCCGAUAUCUGAUUAGCUAGUUGGCGGGUAAAGCCCACCAAGGCGACGAUCAGUAGCUGGUCUGAGAGGACGACCAGCCACACUGGGACUGAGACACGGCCCAGACUCCUACGGGAGGCAGCAGUGGGGAAUUUUGGACAAUGGGCGCAAGCCUGAUCCAGCAAUGCCGCGUGAGUGAAGAAGGCCU
rnacentral:rRNA from 1 species